UUUGAAUCAGAGCUAAAUUGAUUUGGUUGUUUUGGUUCCCAUCAGAGUGCAAUUGCUAUGCUGUCAUUGUGUUCUCUUGGACUAAAAGUGUCACAUCAAGGAAGAACAUGUAACUGGGUUUGACUAAAACUAGCUAAACAGUGAAUUGAUAUUUUAUGUAAAAGCUGAUAAAAAUUUUCCUUCUAAUCGUUGUUGCUGUGUUUCAGGACUUUGGAACCAAAAAAAGAGAGCCGGAGGCAGCAUAACCAGAUAGAUGGAUGGACUCCUGAACUCACUCCUGGCGAGUCCUGAUAUCAAGUGCCACUCGAGAAGAGGCAUGGUUCUAAAUAAAACAAGCAUAAAACCCCACCCACCUCCCUAUUUUGAAAUUUGCUGUGCCACCCUGCUCUAAGGAGAACAUCGCUUAGCAUUCCUGUCCAGCUGAGGUAACCACCCUACUGUGAGAAGACCACCUGCCAGCCGAGGAUGAAACACCUUUCUCCCUGCUUUGAGGAGACAGCCUUCCUGUCUGACUAAGAAUGUUGCAUUGCCUCUGAUGAGGAUGUACCUGAGCUUUCCAGGUGAGGAUGUUCUAAACCUUCACAACAACAUGGAGGACAUGGGCAAGAGCCUGUUAUGUUCAUCCUUUUAUAUGACUCACUAUGCUUCCGGCUUCACUUUGGAUGUUCAGCCAUCUAGCUCAGCUGAAGAUGUCACUCCGCCAUCUUGUUUUGCUGAAGCUGUCACUCCACCAUCUUGUUUAGUUGAAAACGUCACUCCAUCAUCUUGCUCAGCUGAAGAUGUCACUCCAUCAUCUUGCUCAACUAAGGACAUUGCUUUUCCAUGCUGCUUAGCUGAGAACUUCACUUUGUGGACAUGGCUCUGGCCCACAGAGCCCUCUCUCAGGACUAUGGUCACAAAAUACAUUUCUGAUCAGCUACUGCCCUUCACAGGUCACAUGUUUGCACACCUGAAUCCCAUUGUCUAUUAAUUAACAUUUCUCAAAGACUCAGUUUGCCUCUCCAUGGUUUUUAUUUAUGCUUGUUUUUGCAGCCUUGUUCAAAGUUUUUUUUUGUGUGUGUGUGUUUAGUUUCAUUGUGUUUGUUUUGUACAUGUGAGUAUUUUUGCACUUGUAUCCACUCCCUACAUAUUACAUGACACUGUGUAUCUAGCUCUGUGCAGUACAUUAUUCACAUUAGCAUUAAAUCUGAAUUGAUGUA